UACGGAGGGUGCGAGCGUUAAUCGGAAUUACUGGGCGUAAAGGGUGCGUAGGUGGUUUGAUAAGUUAUCUGUGAAAUUCCUGGGCUCAACCUGGGGUGGUCAGAUAAAACUGUUAGACUCGAGUAUGGGAGAGGGUAGUGGAAUUUCCGGUGUAGCGGUGAAAUGCGUAGAGAUCGGAAGGAACACCAGUGGCGAAGGCGGCUACCUGGCCUAAUACUGACACUGAGGCACGAAAGCGUGGGGAGCAAACAGG
rnacentral:rRNA from 1 species